AUAUCCUUCCUCAAAAUUCUUUAUUGUGUCACAAUUAUCCAUUCUAUCCCACAAUUAUUGCUUCUCUUACACUCUGCCUUCUCUCAUAGAGAUCCUCAUAACCAUUUCCGGUUAUCUCCCACAGUUCUCACUUUUUAAUAUAAUUGAUUAGAAGAAUCAUACCUUUCUUGUUCCUGAGAUUCUAAGGUUUUCCAAGAUCGGAGGCAGUAGGAGGUCUCUCUCUCUCAGGAUCACGGCCAGAGAACAGAGAAUUGGUAUGCCUUGGGUAUAAAGACAAUAUCACUAGUUCCACAGCGGGUCAGAGAACAUAUAACAUACCAGGUAUUUUAGAUACUGCUGGGAAUACAAAAGUGCUGAACGAAGGCUUUGUUCUUUGGGAAUCUGUAUUCAAAUAAUUUAAAGAUCAACUAACAGUACACUUCAUCUAAAGAGAUACUCUAAAUCAUGUUUGAUUUUAAACAUUAUUUGAUAGAGAUUGAUGGGGGGGAGACUGAUAGUGAAAACUUGAUUGAAGAAGAAAUUUCUGUUUGGAGCUAUUUCAAAUACAUUCAGGUUUCACUACAGAUUUGUACAGAAAAGGUCUUGUAACAAAGAAAUAUUUGGUUUUAUGUGUCUGUUAGCCAUGACCAUGGUGCUUUGAAAAGUUCCCCCAGCUUUGUUAGAUGAUGGGGGUUUCCUAAGCAAUUAGCAUUCCAGAAUCGAAAUAACUUUCUACAACUUGUUUUCUUAGAUUCCUGACCAUCGUGAAAGACCCUUGAUAAGAAAUAUUUAUUGCCCUGUGUGGUAAGAGCAAGCAUUUGAUCCCAGCCUACAGGAGGCAGAGCAGUGCCAACUGUGGACCACAAAGACACUUCAGCCCCAUUCUUCCCCUUUGUUCUGCGUGUAACAGUUCGGUGGGGAGAAGAAGCCGGAGAAGGAGCUAGUGACAUUCAUUUUUAGCAGGGACUGAAGAACACCUCUGUCUUCGUUAGGAUUUUGCUGCUGUGAACAGAGACCAUGACCAAGGUAACUUUAUAAUGACAACGUUUAAUUGGGGCUGGCUUACAGGUGCAGAGUUUCAGUCCUUAUCAUCAAGGCAGGAACAUGGCAG
rnacentral:lncRNA from 1 species